rnacentral:rRNA from 1 species
GACGAACGCUGGCGGCGUGCCUAAUACAUGCAAGUAGAACGCUGAAGAGAGGAGCUUGCUCUUCUUGGAUGAGUUGCGAACGGGUGAGUAACGCGUAGGUAACCUGCCUUGUAGCGGGGGAUAACUAUUGGAAACGAUAGCUAAUACCGCAUAACAAUGGAUGACACAUGUCAUUUAUUUGAAAGGGGCAAUUGCUCCACUACAAGAUGGACCUGCGUUGUAUUAGCUAGUAGGUGAGGUAAUGGCUCACCUAGGCGACGAUACAUAGCCGACCUGAGAGGGUGAUCGGCCACACUGGGACUGAGACACGGCCCAGACUCCUACGGGAGGCAGCAGUAGGGAAUCUUCGGCAAGGGGGGCAACCCUGACCGAGCAACGCCGCGGGAGUGAAGAAGGUUUUCGGAUCGUAAAGCUCUGUUGUAAGUCAAGAACGGGUGUGAGAGUGGAAAGUUCACACUGUGACGGUAGCUUACCAGAAAGGGACGGCUAACUACGUG